UACGAACUGUGCAAACGUUAUUCGGAAUCACUGGGCUUAAAGGGUGCGUAGGCGGUCAUUUAGGUAGGGUGUGAAAGCCCCCGGCUCAACCGGGGAAUUGCGCCCUAAACCGGGUGACUGGAGUGAGAUAGGGGUGUGUGGAACUUCCGGUGGAGCGGUGAAAUGUGUUGAUAUCGGAAGGAACGCCGGUGGCGAAAGCGACACACUGGGUCUCAACUGACGC
rnacentral:rRNA from 1 species